UGUGUCGUGAGGCAUGCUGGAGGUAUCAGAAGUGCGAAUGCUGACAUAAGUAACGAUAAAGCGGGUGAAAAGCCCGCUCGCCGGAAGACCAAGGGUUCCUGUCCAACGUUAAUCGGGGCAGGGUGAGUCGACCCCUAAGGCGAGGCCGAAAGGCGUAGUCGAUGGGAAACGGGUUAAUAUUCCCGUACUUGGUGUUACUGCGAAGGGGGGACGGAGAAGGCUAUGUUGGCCGGGCGACGGUUGUCCCGGUUUAAGCGUGUAGGUGUGUGUUCCAGGUAAAUCCGGUUCACUUUAACACUGAGGCGUGACGACGAGGCACUACGGUGCUGAAGCAACAAAUGCCCUGCUUCCAGGAAAAGCCUCUAAGCAUCAGGUAACAUCAAAUCGUACCCCAAACCGACACAGGUGGUCAGGUAGAGAAUACCAAGGCGCUUGAGAGAACUCGGGUGAAGGAACUAGGCAAAAUGGUGCCGUAACUUCGGGAGAAGGCACGCUGACACGUAGGUGAAGUGAUUUACUCAUGGAGCUGAAGUCAGUCGAAGAUACCAGCUGGCUGCAACUGUUUAUUAAAAACACAGCACUGUGCAAACACGAAAGUGGACGUAUACGGUGUGACGCCUGCCCGGUGCCGGAAGGUUAAUUGAUGGGGUCAGCGCAAGCGAAGCUCCUGAUCGAAGCCCCGGUAAACGGCGGCCGUAACUAUAACGGUCCUAAGGUAGCGAAAUUCCUUGUCGGGUAAGUUCCGACCUGCACGAAUGGCGUAAUGAUGGCCAGGCUGUCUCCACCCGAGACUCAGUGAAAUUGAACUCGCUGUGAAGAUGCAGUGUACCCGCGGCAAGACGGAAAGACCCCGUGAACCUUUACUAUAGCUUGACACUGAACAUUGAGCCUUGAUGUGUAGGAUAGGUGGGAGGCUUUGAAGUGUGGACGCCAGUCUGCAUGGAGCCGACCUUGAAAUACCACCCUUUAAUGUUUGAUGUUCUAACGUGGACCCGUUACCCGGGUUGCGGACAGUGUCUGGUGGGUAGUUUGACUGGGGCGGUCUCCUCCUAAAGAGUAACGGAGGAGCACGAAGGUUGGCUAAUCCUGGUCGGACAUCAGGAGGUUAGUGCAAUGGCAUAAGCCAGCUUGACUGCGAGCGUGACGGCGCGAGCAGGUGCGAAAGCAGGUCAUAGUGAUCCGGUGGUUCUGAAUGGAAGGGCCAUCGCUCAACGGAUAAAAGGUACUCCGGGGAUAACAGGCUGAUACCGCCCAAGAGUUCAUAUCGACGGCGGUGUUUGGCACCUCGAUGUCGGCUCAUCACAUCCUGGGGCUGAAGUAGGUCCCAAGGGUAUGGCUGUUCGCCAUUUAAAGUGGUACGCGAGCUGGGUUUAGAACGUCGUGAGACAGUUCGGUCCCUAUCUGCCGUGGGCGCUGGAGAACUGAGGGGGGCUGCUCCUAGUACGAGAGGACCGGAGUGGACGCAUCACUGGUGUUCGGGUUGUCAUGCCAAUGGCACUGCCCGGUAGCUAAAUGCGGAAGAGAUAAGUGCUGAAAGCAUCUAAGCACGAAACUUGCCCCGAG
rnacentral:rRNA from 1 species